UAUCAGCACACAGGGAGCACAGAACUGUAGACCGCUCACCCCAGGGGACCCCGCCCAGAGCUGGGAGAGGUCCUGGGCAGCUGCCAUGGGCCCCAGGCUCCUCUGCUGUGUGGCCCUUUGUCUCCUGGGAGCAGGCCCAGUGGACUCUGGAGUCACGCAGACCCCAAAACACCUGAUCAAAGCAAAAAAACAGCAAGCGACGCUGGGGUGUUCCUACAUCUCUGGGCACCGCUACAUGUUUUGGUACCAACAGGCCUGGGGCCAGGGACCCGUGUUCCUCGUUGAGUACUACAAUGGGCAAGAGCGAGAAAAAGGGAAAUUGCCAGAUCGAUUCUCAGUGAAGCAUUUCAGUGACUACCGCUCGGAGCUGACCGCGAGCUCGCUGGAGCUGAGUGACUCCGGCCUGUAUCUCUGUGCCAGCUACUCAGCACAGCCCUGCAGGCGCGGCAGCCUCCUGCACAGAAACACUCCGCCCCACUCAGGAAGCGGCAGCUGCCAGCCAGACAGGCUAGGGUCUUUCCCAGGCACGGUUCUGCUGCUUACAGAUGGGGUGGUUGUAGUGCUCACAGACAUCGUGCAGCUUCAGUAUCCUUGUUCCUGUUUGUAUACAUGA